UCCCUGGUUGUCCAGUGGUUAAAACUCAAUGCUUCCACUGCAGGGGCACAGGUUUGAUUCCUGUUCAGGGAA
rnacentral:tRNA from 1 species